rnacentral:rRNA from 1 species
GUCUAUGGCCAUGCUACCCUGAACAAGCCCGAUCCCAUCUGAUCUUGGAAGCUAAGCUGGGCCGGGCCUAGUUAGUACUUGGAUGGGAGACCACCUAGGAAGACCAGGUGCUGUAUGCG